rnacentral:lncRNA from 1 species
UCCCCCUGGCGCCUGAAAAAGCACAUAUGUCUCCGCGGCUAUUCAAGAUUUCCUUGAAGGCCUCAGCUUCGUGACUGAUCCAUUCAAUCGGGCCUUCUGGAUUCCCCCUUGUGAAAUUUUCUUCGCUAGAGAAUGCGCCAACGCUAGCGAAGCUGGAUUUUAUCUUCGUAACACACUCUAUGGAUUUAUCAUAGCACCUUUUCUUGGAAGCACGAAGCUCUUCAACAUUUAUUUCCAAAUGACUUGCCCAUUGUUCACUAAGUUCUCGUUUUGUUUCUUCAAGUAUGCGUUCUUCUUUAGCUCUGGCCAGCUGUUUCCGAAGAUCCUGAAUUUCGCGUUUUUGGGCUUCAGCUUGAGCCUUAGAGGUAGCUUCGUCUUCCUUUAUUUUGUCCACCAGUGUAAGCAGAAAUUUAUCUUUUUCCAAAGCUUCGUUUCUCAGCUUAAUAACCUCUGUUCGUAGGUUGUUGAAAGCAAUAUUAUAGCUCUCGUCUUCGGCAUUCUUUUGCGCUCUCAAAGCC